CAGGUCAAUGGUCCUGUUUGUUCAUCCAUUCAGCCAGUCUAUGUCUUUCAAUUGGAGCGUUUAGUCCAUUUACAUUCAGUGUUAUUAUUGAUAAGUAAGGGCUUAUUCCUGCCAUUUUGUUUUCUGAUUGUUUUGUGGUCUUCUCCUUCUUCUAUCUUUCCUCCCUGUCUUCCUCUAGUGAAGGUGAUUUUCUCUGGUGAUAUGAUUUAGUUUCUUGCUUUUUAUAUUUUGUGUACCCAUUGUAUGUUUUUUGGUUUGAGGUUACCAUAAGACUUGCAAAUACUAUCUUAUAACCCAUGAUUUUAACCUGAUAACAACUUAACACUAUCUGCAUAAACGAAUAAGCAAAAAGAAAACUAAUAAAGACUCUAUGCCUUCACUUCAUCCCUGUUUUUUAACUAUUUCUCCUUCAUGUUUGAAGGAUAUUUUCACUGGAUAUACUAGGGUAAAAGGUUUUUGUGUUUUUUUUUCCUUCACCACUUUAAGUAUGUCAUGCCUCUGUCUCCUGGCCUGUAAGGUUUCUACUGAAAAGUCUGCUGCCAGACGUAUUGGAGCUCCAUUGUAUGUUAUUUGUUUCCUUUCUCUUGUGGCUUUUAGGAUCUUUUCUUUGUCCUUGACCUUUGGGAUUUUGAUUAUUAAAUGCCUUGAGGUAGUUUUCUUUGGGUUAAAUCUGCUUGGUGUUCUAUAACCUUCUUGUACUUGGAUAUCAAUCUCUUUCUUUAGGUUUGGGAAGUUCUCUAUUAUCCCUUUGAAUAACUUUCUACCCCUAUAUGUUUCUCUACCUCCUCUUCAAGGCUAAUAACUCUUAGAUUUGCCCCCUUUGAAGCUAUUUUCUAGAUCCUGUAGGGGUGCUUCAUUGCUUUUAUUCUUUUUUGUCUCCUCUGACUGUGUAUUUUCAAAUAGCCUGUAUUCGAGCUCACUAAUGCUUUCUUCCGCUUGAUCAAUUCUGAUGGUAAAGGAUCCUGGUGCAAUCUUCAGUAUACCAAUUGCAUUUUUCAGCUUCAGAAUUUCUGCUUGAUUCUUUUAAAUUAUUUCAGUAUCUUUGUUAAAUUUAUCUGAUAUAAUUCUGAACUCCUUCUCUGUGUUUAUCUUGAAUUUCUUUAAGUCUCCUCAACACAGCUAUUUUGAAUUCUCUGUCUGAAAGGUCACAUAUCUCUGUUUUUCCAGAAUUGGUUCCUGGUGCCUUAUACUUAGUUCAUUUGGUGAGGUCAUGUUUUCCUGGAUGCGGUUGAUGCUAGUAGAUGUUUUUUGGCGUCUGGGCAUUGAAGAGUUAGGUAUUUAUUAUAGUCUUCUCUGUCUGGGCUUAUUUGUAGCCAUCCUUCUUGGGAAGGCUUUCCAGAUUUUGAAAAUACUUGGAUGUCGUGAUCUAAGCUGUAUCUGCUUUAGGGGGCACCCCAAGCUUAGUAAUUCUGUGGUUCUUGCAGACUCGUAGAGGUACUGCCUUGAUGGUCUUGGAAAAGAUCCAGGAGAAUUCUCUGGAUUAUCAGGCAGAGACUCUUGUUCUCUUCCCUUUCUUUCUCCCAAACAAACAGAGUCUCUCUCUCUCUGUUCUGAGUCACCUAAAGCUGGGGAUGGAGUGACAAAAGCACCCCUGUGACCACCACCACUAUGACUGCACUGGGUCAGACCUGAAGCCAGUACAGCACUGGGUCUUGCCCAAGGCCUGCUGCUCUAAACUCCAUGGCUAUUGCCUAUGUUCACUCAAGGCCCUGGGGCUCUACAAUCGGAAGGUGGCAAAGCCAGCUAGGCCUGUGUCUUUCCCUUCAGGGCAGCAAGGUCCCCUAGGCCUCAGGUGGGUCCAGAGGUGCCAUCUGGGAGUCAGGGACUAGCGUCAAAAAGUUUAGAAGUCUACCUGGUGUUCUACUGUAUUGUGGCUGAGCUGGCACUCAAACCACAAGCAGCAGUCCUUCCCACUCUUCCCUCUCCUUUCCAAAGGCAGAGGAGCCUCACCCCAUCCACCACCACCCCAGGCCGUGAGGAGUACUGCCAGACUACCAGCCAAUGUUCCCUUAAGACCCAAGGUCUCUUAAGUCAGGUCGUGGUGAAUGCUGCCUGGCCUGGGACUCACUGUUCAGGGCAAUGGGCUCUCCUCUGGCCCAGGACACAUCCAGAAACGCUGUCCAAGAGUCAAGUCCUGGAAUCGAGGACCUCAAGGGCCCAUCUGGCGCUCUACCCCACUGUGGCCGUGCUGGUACUUGAAGCCAGCAAGUCUCAGAGGCUCACCCAAGGCCCUCAACUUAUAGUACCUGGGUAUCACUGCUGGUUAUUGAGGGCCCAAGGGCUCUUCAGUUAACAGGCGAUUGAGAAUGCUUCCAGGACUGGGUCCUUCCCUUCAAAGUAGCAGGUUCCCUUCUGACCCAGGGUGUGUCCAGAAAUGUCAUCUGGGAGCUUGGCCUGG
rnacentral:lncRNA from 1 species